ACGAAAAUUUUUAAUAAACAAGAACCGGUAAUCGCAGAUUCGAAAAACAAUUUCAUAAGUGAAACUCUAGACCAUUAAAGAAUAUAAACAAAAUAAUUUUUCAAUCAUGAUAAUUUUGAAGAUGAUUGAUUUCGCAUUAUUUUUUGUUUAAUAUUCUAGCCAUUCCAAUAAUUCAGGAGUAAAGUAAGUCAAAACUAUGUUAGCGCCAGCACGCAUAAAGCCAUCCAUGGUUUCCAUCACAUGUCUUUUUAAUUCAAAUACGCCAGCGGCAGCAGCAGCAUG